GACGAACGCUGGCGGCGUGCUUAACACAUGCAAGUCGAACGAUGAAGCCGGAGCUUGCUCUGGUGAAUUAGUGGCGAACGGGUGAGUAACACGUGAGUAACCUGCCCUUGACUCUGGGAUAACUGCGGGAAACUGUAGCUAAUACCGGAUACGACCCUCGGAGGCAUCUCCUGGGGGUGGAAAGAAUUUCGGUCAAGGAUGGACUCGCGGCCUAUCAGCUAGUUGGUGAGGUAAAGGCUGACCAAGGCGACGACGGGUAGCCGGCCUGAGAGGGUGACCGGCCACCCUGGGACUGAGACACGGCCCAGACUCCUACGGGGGGCAGCAGUGGGGAAUAUUGCACACUGGGCGCAAGCCUGAUGCAGCAACGCCGCGUGAGGGAUGACGGCCUUCGGGUUGUAAACCUCUUUUAGCAGGGAAGAAGCGAAAGUGACGGUACCUGCAGAAAAAGCACCGGCUAACUACGUGCCAGCCGCCGCCGUAA
rnacentral:rRNA from 1 species